rfam:Gossypium hirsutum cultivar TM-1 chromosome 13, whole genome shotgun sequence
UGGGGCGUGGCCAAGUGGUAAGGCAAUGGGUUUUGGUCCGGCUAUGCGGAGGUUCGAAUCCUUCCGUCCUAG